CACCGCUAAAACGAAUUUGACAUAUGUUUUAUUCACUCACGUGCUAAACAUUUUUUAGUUGUGAACAAAAAAUCUAGUUUUGGUAUAGUUCAAAUCUCAAAAACGAAUAUUUUUAGAACGAAAGUAUUUCCCUGGUGUAUUACGAGAACAAAAACGGAUUCAGAAGCAGUGACAUAUAUUGACAAAUUCUAUUAUUUCAUUUUUAUUUCUAUAUUUCGUUAUGAUUGAAAAAGUUUUGUUGAAAUCUAAGUUCUACGGCAGCCUGAUAGGGGUACUGAUUGGCGACUGCUGUGGAGCUCCAUUUGAAGGGCAAUUGAUGGAUAGCGGUUCAAAGCUUGUACUGAAAAAUUAUUUAAAUAAAUUGGAAGGUCCCUUUUUCAAAGCUCCAUAUAAGAAGUUUACUGACGACACAGCCCUUACAAUAUGUGUUGCCGAUGCUCUAUUGGAUUCAAAAGGUUUUUCUCAAAAACAACUGGCAAAAAACUUUGUUUUGGAAUAUUACAAAGACACAAGACGUGGUUAUGGAUCUGCAGUAGUUGAUGUAUUUGCAAAACUUCGUGCAACUAAAAUGGCAGAUCCUACCGGGCCAGCGUAUGCUCAGUUUGGCGGAAAUGGAUCUUAUGGAAAUGGAGCUGCGAUGAGAGUGACUCCUAUAGCAUUGUUUUGUGCAAAUAGCAACAAAGCCCAUUUGAUGAAACUAGUGCAGGAGGCAUCUUUAGUAACUCAUACAAAUGUAUUGGGAAUUAACGGAGCUAUACUGCAAGCUCUGGCUAUUCGUCAAUGCCUCCAAUUAGAUCCAAAUGAAACUCUUGACAGAAAAAAAUAUCUUUCAGAACUGAAGGAAGAUAUUGUCAUACUUGAGAAAAAUAACGACGCUGACCUAGAUAGUAAUUACAAUGCUUAUGAAAAGCAACUAAAUGCUGUUCAGUUAUUGUUGGAGGGAGAUGUUGAGCCUAGUGAUGAAAACGUUUUAAACAUGCUUGGUCACAGCACUGAGGCGUUAUAUUCAGUUCCAACGGCACUUUUUUGCUUUUUGAGGUGUACGUCUGGCUCGCUCAAAGACGUGAGUAUGAUGCCACAAUAGGUUUCAUUGUGAUAACGAUAAUUUAUAAUUUGAUCUGUGACAAACCUAGUUGGGAAUCGAACAAGCGUAGUUGAUAAUGUCUUAAUCAACCAGGCUAGUGAUAGUGCUAACUCCUCACCAUCUAUCCAACUGGGUUAGUUUUAAUUCUAGCAGAAACCGGGUGAUUUUCAGUGCCGUAAAAUCUCGAAAUACGAAUUUCAUCGAACGAGAUAGUCAAGACGUUGGUACCGAUCCAUUGCUUGACGGGUAGUUAUUACUCUGGAUGUAAUUGUCUCCCGAGGUGACUGUGAUGGUCAUAAUAUCGUGAGAAUGAGGCCAAAGAAAAAUGAGCAUGAUAAGAAAAAUGUUUGAACUGUUGAUGCUAUUGCAUUUGUACUUCAAUAGUAUUUGCCAAAUUAACACAAAACACAUUAAUAUGGGUACACGUAAGAACAAAAAAUUACCUGUGUACUGUAUACAUAUAUUUUGUCUAUAAAAAUGCAUAUUUUCUUUUAUAAUGGACUGGAAACUAAUGUUUGAGCAGAAUCUAAACUGCAGUUGUUGCAAACAUAUAGAAAGAUCAACGUUCAUUUCGUGAUACUUUGGAAUAUGCUAUAUCAUUGGGAGGAGAUACCGAUACUAUUGCUAGUAUGGCGUGUGCCCUAAGUGGAGCUUAUUUUGGAGAUGCUGCUGUGGUGGAAAACCUACUAAAAC